rnacentral:lncRNA from 1 species
AUGCUGAGUUGCAACAUAUCCAAGACAAAUGCAACACUGAUCACCUGGACCAACAGCAGAUCUGUUUUUCAAUAUUCCACUGUGCUGAAUUGCACCCAUUCAAAUUUCUCAUUUCAUAGACUGAAAAUAAAUCAUGAGUUCCCUACAAAGCUAAUUAUUUUUAGUGCUCAACCUGAAGAUGAAGGACUUUAUAAAUGUAUCAUAGCUGACCUAGAUCGCCUACACAGCAUUACAUGGAAUUUAACUGUGUCUGAGAACCCAGAAGAAUCGAUUUCAUCAAAGUAUUUUACAUUCAUACUUCCAUCUGCAAUUGGAUUCCUUCUGUGUGGCAUCACACUGGCUGUCUUCUUCUACAGGUGAGUUAAAGCUUUUAACUUCACAGGGAAUGCAUGAAUGUGUCUGUUUUCGAUCCUGCUGCAGAUUUGGCAGCACUUGUAAGACUGAUUCGAUCAUAAAGCUAAAACUGCAUUUUAUUUGGUCUCUGCCUGCAUUGAAAGAGUCACUUUGUUUCAAAUUACAAAUGACUAUUUUGGAAUCUGUUGUGAAUGUUGUGUUCACACCAUUUCUGUAAACACCACAAACUUAUUCUAAAUUUAAAGAGGUGAAUCAGCCCUCGGUGGUUUUUGCUUGGCCUAUUUUUCUAUGCAGUAGAGGGUGAACAGAGGAAAUGCCAAUGAAGAAGUGGUUAAAGGUGGUUAGACUCAAAGUUGACUCUGAUACCAUUUUCUUUGUGAUAAUCCUACCACAGCCUGUACGUUUAUUUCUUACAACUAGAAAAGUAUACCAGCCAGUUAUUUUCAAAGACUCUGAGCCAACUCUGCAGAGGCUCAUACUUAAACCCAACAGCUUUUGAAUAAUGCAUUUUAAAAUAAAAAAAGCCUUGAAUCUGAGUAUCUUACAGAAUAUGGUGUCUCAGAAAAUAAUCCUUGGGGAAACCUUAGGUCCUUGCAUUCAGAACAAACAACAAAUUGAAAUGCACUCCUCAAAAACUUGAUAUUUACUGCUGUAAAUCAAGUUUUUGAGGAGUGCAUCGGAAACCAGUCCAACAAAACACCAGAAGACAAAACAGAGUCUAGUGUUUUCCAUUGUUAAUAACUGUGAAUGUUGUGCCAUUGAAGACAUGCAUAAUUUAAUAUAUAAUUCAAAACUCUAUCUUGUUAAAAAUACAGUUAAAAAUAGUGACUGUUUUCAUUUUCUGCAAAUGAUGGCGGCAUGGACAUUUUGCAUUUCCUGUUUUCAUUAUGACACUUAGAGUUUGUUAAGAUUUACUAAUGCUUAAAACAGGUGGAUAUAACUAAGAUGUACGGUGUCAUUAUUGGUCACUGCUUUUACUCUGCAGAAAAAUGAUGAUGAGGACACUGAAUCAGGAUCCAGUCCAGGAUCAGUUUCCCCCUCAUUCAGGAGAAGAGGUCAGAAGAUCUUUGUCAUCUUUAACACUCUCACGUGCCUCUGCCUUAAUUUCUAUCUUUGCAUCACCACCAAUUCUUAUUUGAUCCUUUUUGGCUUUUAUAGGCAGCACACUCACAACCACAGGGUGGCACUGCUCUUUGUACAAACAACAAACGGAGCAGUCAGCAUAUGGAGAGGCUCAAUUUAAUCUACGGUCACUUCUGAGCUGAUGAUUCUUCCAGUUACACAGAGACAUGGACGUUUUUCAACUUCAGAGGGACGACAACAAGGCUACUAUUGCCUCUUCAGCUCAGAAACACAGCUCUGGCUGUGAGCACAGCCAACCACUUCCAUUCAAUCCCUCUGUUCACAAGGAGCAGCCAGCUAGAAGAAAGUUUGAAUUCAAGGACUGGAAAAAAGAACUAAACAUCUUGUUUCAGAGACAGAAUGAACAUUGUUAAAUAAGUUUUCAGUGCAGUAAAAACUUAUUCAGGAACAUUGUACAUUUAUGUAUUUAAACAGUUAUAAUGGUUACUGCAAUUUAAUAAAAUAAUAAAAUAUAUUCACAAUCCCCUUAUAUCAUUUCCUAAAUCCCUGUAUUUUGUCAAUGCAGCCAACAGGGGUGAACGUGGUUCAGGGGGUUGGGAAGCUCAUCUGGUAACCAAAAGCUCAUCUUGUCAGUCUGCCCCAGGGCAGCUGUGGCUACAACUGUAGUUUGCCUCCACCAGUGUGUGAAUGUGAGAGUGAAUGAAUAGUGGAGUUGUAAAUCAAUUUGAGGGUCUCGAAAAGCGCUAUACAAAUGCAAUCCAUUAUUAUUAAUAGUCGUAAGGAAAAUACCUCAAACAUUUUUAUCACCUUCACCUUUAGAUCAGUGUUUUGAGGUCAGAUGUACUUUCUAUAUGUUCGCAAUGCAUACCACAAGAAAUCAUCAUCAAAGUUAGAAGUUUUUUUC